rnacentral:rRNA from 1 species
GACUGAGUGGCGGACGGGUGAGUAACGACUGGGUAACCACCUGUACAGGGGGACAACAGUUGGAAACGACUGCUAAUACCGCAUAAGCGCACAGCAUCGCAUGAUGCAGUGUGAAAAGUUUUUUCGGUACAAGAUGGACCCGCGUCUGAUUAGCUAGUUGGUGAGGUAACGGCCCACCAAGGCGACGAUCAGUAGCCGACCUGAGAGGGUGACCGGCCACAUUGGGACUGAGACACGGCCCAAACUCCUACGGGAGGCAGCAGUGGGGAAUAUUGCACAAUGGGCGAAAGCCUGAUGCAAGCGACGCCGCGUGAGCGAAGAAGUAUUUCGGUAUGUAAAGCUCUAUCAGCAGGGAAGAUAAUGACGGUACCUGACUAAGAAGCACCGGCUAAAUACGUGCCAGCCGCCGC